rnacentral:rRNA from 1 species
GAGUAACACGUGAGCAACCUGCCUUUCAGUGGGGGACAACAUUUGGAAACGAAUGCUAAUACCGCAUAAGACCACAGUGUCGCAUGGCACAGGGGUCAAAGGAUUUAUCCGCUGAAAGAUGGGCUCGCGUCCGAUUAGCUAGAUGGUGAGGUAACGGCCCACCAUGGCGACGAUCGGUAGCCGGACUGAGAGGUUGAACGGCCACAUUGGGACUGAGACACGGCCCAGACUCCUACGGGAGGCAGCAUG